AUUGAACGCUGGCGGCAUGCUUUACACAUGCAAGUCGAACGGUAACAGGUUAAGCUGACGAGUGGCGAACGGGUGAGUAAUGCAUCGGAACGUGCCCGAUCGUGGGGGAUAACACUUCGAAAGAAGUGCUAAUACCGCAUACGAUCUGAGGAUGAAAGCGGGGGACCGUAAGGCCUCGCGCGAUCGGAGCGGCCGAUGUCAGAUUAGGUAAUUGGUGGGGUAAAGGCUCACCAAGCCGACGAUCUGUAGCUGGUCUGAGAGGACGACCAGCCACACUGAGACUGAGACACGGCCCAGACUCCUACGGGAGGCAGCAGUGGGGAAUAUUGGACAAUGGGCGCAAGCCUGAUCCAGCAAUGCCGCGUGCAGGAAGAAGGCCUUCGGGUUGUAAACUGCUUUUGUACGGAGCGAAAAGGCUCCCUCUAAUACAGGGGGCUCAUGACGGUACCGUAAGAAUAAGCACCGGCUAACUACGUGCCAGCCGCCGCCGUAA
rnacentral:rRNA from 1 species